UAGUGGAAGGCUCAGUGGUAGAGCAUAGGCUUUGCAUGCAGAAGGUCGCAGGUUCAAUCCCUGGCUGCUCUAG